rnacentral:misc_RNA from 1 species
GAUGAAUAACGUAGCGAAAUGCGAUAAGUAAUGUGAAUUGCAGAAUUCAGUGAAUCAUCGAAUCUUUGAACGCACAUUGCGCCCGCCAGUAUUCUGGCGGGCAUGCCUGUCCGAGCGUCAUUUCAACCCUCGCGCCCAUCUGGGCUGCGGUGUUGGGGACCGGCCUGCCCCCCGGGGCGCGCCGCCCCCCAAAUUCAGUGGCGGUCUCGCUGCAGCCUCCCUUGCGUAGUAGCACACCUCGCACCGGAGCGCAGCGCGGCCACGCCGUAAAACCCCCGACCCCCAUGAGUUUGACCUCGGAUCAGGUAGGAAUACCCGCUGAACUUAAGCAUAUCAAUAAGCGGAGGA